rnacentral:snRNA from 1 species
GUGCUCACUUAGGCAGCACAUAUACUAAAAUUGGAAUAAUAACAGGAAGAUGAGCAUGGUACCUGCACAUGGAUGACACAUAAACUAGUCAAGAGUUCCAUAUUUUU